UUCCUGACUCCUAGAGGCCUUCUGAAGGAUUUCACCGAGAAGCCCUCUCCUGAGUUACCUACUGAGAAACCAGAUACAGUUCUCAGUGGAUUCUUCUUAAAGGAAAGCAGAAGGUCACUGUAAGACAGUCAACACUGCUCCUCCCUCAGGACAGCACACCCAUCUUCAAGCCAGGGAAGCCGUACCGCAUUCGAGAAAGGCUGCCAUGCAGAAAUUCAGCUGCAACAAUACAGACACAGGAAACAUCCUCAGAGAUUUCAUCUGAACAUGCAAUGCUAAACAGCUGGCCAAAGCCAUCAUUUUUCUCCCCUUUCUCAUCCCUCAAGCUUGCUGAACUAAUAGCAUCAGCCAGGGAAGGAAGAAGCCCCAAGCACAGAAAUAGCAGGUGCCUCAUCUUUUUUUUGUGGUAAGUAAGGAUUUAUUGUACUUAUGUUUUAAGCUGGAGACAGACAGGUAUCCCCUUCAACUACAAGAGCUUUAGCUUCCUAGUCAUUCCAUUUUAGCACAGAUAUUCUUAGGCAUCCCCGUUCCCACAUGUAGAACAGAGCCUUUCCACCCCCAGUAGAAACCAUCUUUACAAGAAGCCAUCACCAGCCAGUAGUUCUUCCAGAGAAGGGACCCCUCAGCACCCACUUAGACCCCGCAGAGGCUGACUCCAGUACCAGUAUUUCAGGGGCAUACCUCAAAAGCAGAGGAACAGCAUUAGACCUAGAAGCUCCCCAUAGCUUCUUGCUGAAGGGAAACUGUAAAGCAAGAGGAAGACCUCUCUCAAACAGGAGACCUGGUUUUCCCACUAUUACAAAGUCACCCCAUUUAAGUUUCAAGUCUCCCAUGCACUAAUUCAACCCAGUGCACUUUGAGAGGCAUGCUCUUUAGUAUUAUGCCUUAUCCUCUUCAUUUUUAUCAAUAGACACAAAAUGAAGUUGGCCUUGUUAGAGACCUCUCACAAGAGGGAGAGGUCAUCAGCAUUUCCCUCCUUUAGUUUUCCCAUUUGUCUGAUUCUUUUUCCCCCCUCCAAGAGCAGCAUGCCGAAGUCUGAGAGCACAGCAGCAGCUUCCCUCCUUCAUGAGGGUCUCAGUCUACUUAGGCUGCUGCUGCAGUAUCCAUCCUGCAUACACUAGAGAUGGUUUACUCCCCCACACCGCAGGCAAACACCACCCUCCAGCCACUUCCUCCAACCCCCAGGGUGCAGUGACUACAGCAACCUCUAAGCAACCUCUUCAGUCACAACAAGAAGUUGGUUCCAAGGGGCCUUACCUGAGCUUUGAAGUAACACACUAAAAGCUUUCUCCUCCUCCUCCUUUCAGCCCAGGACCAGGACCACCACCACUAAGCAGCCAUCACCACACAGGAGGCACUAGAGCACCCCGGGAAGAGACAUCUUUGUCAUCUUUGUCAGCUUUGUCAGGAGGGGAGCUCCCCCUCCCCACCCCACAGAGGGAGUCCCCCAGCCAAGAGGGGAAACUCCUCCCUCACACCCAAUGCAGGGGGGCCCUCCACCCAGGAGGGGCCUCCCUAAGUGGGGGGUGGAGAAGAGGGAGAGCCUCCCCCCCACUCAGGAGGGGAGCUCUCCCCCACCAAGGAGGGGGGCUCCCCACUCUGGGGAGCUCACCCUCCCCACCUGGGGGGGCUCCCCAGAGCGGGGAGGAAGGAGAGCCCCCUCCCACCCAGGGGGGGAGCUCUCCCCCCCCAGGAGGGGGGCUCCCCACUCUGGGAGCUCACCCUCCUCCCCCCCACCCAGGGGGAGCUCUCUCCUCCCACUUCCGAGACUGACCAUCCCCACCUCCCACCCAAAAAAAAAAAAUAAUCUCUUUGAGAUAGUGCAAUCCCCACUCCACAGCCCCCCACCGCCAGCCAAAAGCACAGCCCAAGUGCAGGCUCUGCUUUUGGCUGACCACCACCGGCCCCCACACCUCAACAAACAAAGCCACACUGCUCCACCAUAGAGAUCAAAAAAAAAACACAAACAACAUACCACACCACCACUAACCAGCCAGCUCCAAGUCCCUAACCCAAAACCAAGUCCACCAACCUGGCCAAACAACACCAAGCCCAACGGGCUCCAAAACAAGACCACCAAGCCACACACAAGCCUCAGACCCAGCAAAACCAACCAGCCCCAAGCCGCUCCUUCUACCAACCCCCUAACCAACACUACAAACUCAACCACAAAGACAGCUCCAAGGCAAAAACCAGCACACAAGCCCGCCACACUGGCCCCUCACCUCCGCUACACGCUACUGCCAGUAACCAACAGAAACCUCAGACGCACAUCAAAACCAACCACCUACAAGGGAACUGAAACAGAGCCCCAAGACAGCAC
ensembl:lncRNA